UACCGGCGAUCGUAACGCCGCAGUCUGGCAGAAGGCCCGUCCCCCGCCUCACCAGACCGGACAAAGGCCUAUCCCCCUCUCCGGGUCUUUGUCCUUCUAUAAGAAACGCCACGGCUGCCCCCUCCCAGCCGUGGCGUUUUUGU
rnacentral:sRNA from 1 species